rnacentral:ribozyme from 1 species
UUUUUUUUUUUUUUUUUUUUUUUUUCAUCU